UGUCAUUGUGCUACUGCAAUAAAUAUUCUGU
rnacentral:piRNA from 1 species